rnacentral:rRNA from 1 species
UACGUAGGGUGCGAGCGUUAAUCGGAAUUACUGGGCGUAAAGCGUGCGCAGGCGGUUUUGCAAGCCGGAUGUGAAAUCCCCCGGGCUUAACCUGGGAAUGGCAUUUGGGACUGCAAGGCUGGAGUGCGGCAGAGGAGACUGGAAUUCCUGGUGUAGCAGUGAAAUGCGUAGAUAUCAGGAGGAACACCGAUGGCGAAGGCAGGUCUCUGGGCUGACACUGACGCUCAUGCACGAAAGCGUGGGGAGCAAACAGG